rnacentral:rRNA from 1 species
GAUGAACGCUGGCGGCGUGCUUAACACAUGCAAGUCGAACGGAAAGGCCCAAGCUUGCUUGGGUACUCGAGUGGCGAACGGGUGAGUAACACGUGGGUGAUCUGCCCUGCACUUCGGGAUAAGCCUGGGAAACUGGGUCUAAUACCGGAUAGGACGAUGGUUUGGAUGCCAUUGUGGAAAGUUUUUUCGGUGUGGGAUGAGCUCGCAGCCUAUCAGCUUGUUGGUGGGGUAAUGGCCUCCAAGGCGUCGACGGGUAGCCGGCCUGAGAGGGUGUACGGCCACAUUGGGACUGAGAUACGGCCCAGACUCCUACGGGAGGCAGCAGUGGGGAAUAUUGCACAAUGGGCGCAAGCCUGAUGCAGCGACGCCGCGUGGGGGAUGACGGCCUUCGGGUUGUAAACUCCUUUCGCUAGGGACGAAGCGUUUUUGUGACGGUACCUGGAGAAGAAGCACCGGCUAACUACGUG